rnacentral:rRNA from 1 species
CCUACGGGAGGCAGCAGUGGGGGAUAUUGCACAAUGGGGGAAACCCUGAUGCAGCGACGCCGCGGGGGAGAAGAAGUAUUGAGGUAUGUAAAGCCCUAUCAGCAGGGAAGAAGAAAUGACGGUACCUGAGUAAGAAGCAACGGCUAAAUACGUGCCAGAAGCCGGGGUAAAACGGAUGGUGCAAGCGUUAUCCGGAUUUACUGGGGGCAAAGGGAGGCGAGGCGGCACGGCAAGCCUGAUGUGAAGGCCCGCGGCCCAACCGCGGGACUGCAUUGGGAACUGCCGGGCUGGAGUGCCGGAGAGGUAGGCGGAAUUCCUAGUGUAGCUGUGAAAUGCGUAGAUAUUAGGAGGAACACCAGUGGCGAAGGCGGCCUACUGGACGGUGACUGACGCUGAGGCUCGAAAGCGUGGGGAGCAAACAGGAUUAGAUACCCUGGUAGUC